GGUUGAUCCUGCCAGUAGUGCACGCUCGUCUCAAAGACUAAGCCAUGCAUGUCUAAGUAUAAAUUGAAAUACAGUGAAACUGCGAAUGGCUCAUUAUAUCAGAAAUCAUCUACAUGAUGGAUUUUUUACUUGGGUAACUGAGGCAAAUCUUGAGCUAAUACAUGCACUAAAGCCCUGACUUCGGGAGGGGCGUAUAUAUUAGAUAAAAAACCAACCGGGCAACCGUUCUUUGGUGAUUCAUGAUAUCUGCUCGAAUCGCACGGUUUCAUACUGGCGAUGGUUCAUUCGAAUUU
rnacentral:rRNA from 1 species